GUAUUGAUUGAUUGAACGAAUGAUGAAAAUGUGACCAGAGAUUCACAGGAACCUAAUCCUACGUGGUUCAGUAUGUAUUAAUUCAAGGUUUGCAACAACUCUAUGGAACAUAAGUGCUACAAAUAAUGAAAAUCAACUGUUAAACUUUAACUUUUUAAUUUACUUUUCUGGUGUCCAGCUAGAGAAUGAACAUAUCUGUGUUUUCCUACAAGGAGAACAUCAGGACUCUGGUCAUGUUCUAAAUGCUUCCCUCAUAAGAACAUCUAAGCACCUUGAUUGUGACUUGCCAGCCACACCCUUCUCUGUGAAAAAUGACUGCAUUUUGCACAAAUGACAAUUUUCAGCAGGCAUCUGACAUAUUUACUUCAGGGGUGGACAACUUUUUGGCCCAGCAACUCUAGAGAUGUGUUUGUACUACAGGAUAGAAGGAUAUAGUCCCUGUUUGCCAGGAAUCCCAAAACCUGCAAAGAAUAUUCUUUUUUACUCAAGAUCAUUCAUGAGACAGACCUACCAGUAAAAGAUUAUUGGCCUAGAGAGAUGGUGAUGGAGAUUCAAAAUGCGGUAGAAGAACAACAAAUUAUUUUGCCUCUUUGCCAUGAUAACCUGACUCCCAAUGAAAGAGACCCAGGCUUAUACAAUGGCAUCCAGACAUCGGCCACUUGAUAUGCUUCACAGACUUGGGGACUCAAUUCUUUCCUGAACUUGGGGAUUGGAUUUACAAGGUCUUCAUUUUAUGCACAUAUCUAGAGUUUAUUUCAUCAUUAAAGAACUGUGCUUGAAGAUCUACCUCCUCCUAGAAAGAGGAACCAUAGUUGUAAA